rnacentral:tRNA from 1 species
AAUUAUUGAACUUGAAUAAGUGUAUAUUUUGAAAGUAUAAAAUAGAAGUAACAAUCUUCUAAUAAUUU